rnacentral:rRNA from 1 species
GAGUUUGAUCCUGGCUCAGCGCGAACGCUGGCGGCGCGCCUAACACAUGCAAGUCGCGGGGCAGCAGGCCCUCCUUCGGGAGGGUGCUGGCGACCGGCAAACGGGUGAGUAACGCGUGGGUAACCUACCCUCAGGGGAGGGAUAACCCCGGGAAACCGGGGCUAAUACCCCAUAAUGCCAUGCAUCACUGAGGCGCAGGGUGAAAGGGGGCCUCUGCUUGCAAGCUCCCGCCUGAGGAUGGGCCCGCGUCCCAUCAGGUAGUUGGUGGGGUAACGGCCUACCAAGCCUGUGACGGGUAGCCGGCCUGAGAGGGUAGCCGGCCACAGCGGGACUGAGACACGGCCCGCACCCCUACGGGGGGCAGCAGUGGGGAAUCGUGGGCAAUGGGCGAAAGCCUGACCCCGCGACGCCGCGUGCGGGAUGAAGCCCUUCGGGGUGUAAACCGCUGUCAGGAGGGACGAAGGGACCGUGGGCUAAUACCUCACGGUCUUGACGGUACCUCCAGAGGAAGGGACGGCUAACUACGUGCCAGCAGCCGCGGUAAUACGUAGGUCCCGAGCGUUGCGCGGAGUCACUGGGCGUAAAGCGUCCGCAGCCGGCUCCGUAAGCGGGAUGUCAAAGCCCACGGCUCAACCGUGGAACGGCAUCCUGAACUGCGGAGCUUGAGGCACGCUCAGGCAGGCGGAAUUCCCGGGGUAGCGGUGAAAUGCGUAGAUCUCGGGAGGAACACCGAAGGGGAAGCCAGCCUGCUGGAGCUGUCCUGACGGUCAGGGACGAAAGCCAGGGGAGCGAACCGGAUUAGAUACCCGGGUAGUCCUGGCCGUAAACCAUGGGCGCUAGGGGUUGUCCCUUCGGGGGCAGCCUCGCAGCUAACGCGAUAAGCGCCCCGCCUGGGGAGUACGGGCGCAAGCCUGAAACUCAAAGGAAUUGGCGGGGGCCCGCACAACCGGUGGAGCGUCUGGUUCAAUUCGAUGCUAACCGAAGAACCUUACCCGGGCUUGACAUGUCAUGGUCACCUCUGCGAAAGCGGAGGGUUCUCGUUCCUCUGGAACGAGCCCUGACACAGGUGGUGCAUGGCCGUCGCCAGCUCGUGUCGUGAG